GUGCCAAGCAGCCGCGGUAAAACCAGCACCUCAAGUGGUCAGGAUGAUUAUUGGGCCUAAAGCAUCCGUAGCCGGCUCUGUAAGUUUUCGGUUAAAUCUGUACGCUCAACGUACAGGCUGCCGGGAAUACUGCAUAGCUAGGGAGUGGGAGAAGUAGACGGUACUCGGUAGGAAGUGGUAAAAUGCUUUGAUCUAUCGAUGACCACCUGUGGCGAAGGCGGUCUACUAGAACACGUCCGACGGUGAGGGAUGAAAGCUGGGGGAGCAAACCGGAUUAGAUACCCGGGUAGUCCCAGCUGUAAGCUAUGCAAACUCAGUGAUGCAUUGGCUUGUGGCCAAUGCAGUGCUGCGGGGAAGCCGUUAAGUUUGCCGCCUGGGAAGUACGUACGCAAGUAUGAAACUUAAAGGAAUUGGCGGGGGAGCACCACAAGGGGUGAAGCCUGCGGUUCAAUUGGAGUCAACGCCAGAAAUCUUACCCGGAGAGACAGCAGAAUGAAGGUCAAGCUGAAGACUUUACCAGACAAGCUGAGAGGUGGUGCAUGGCCGUCGCCAGCUCGUGCCGUGAGAUGUCCUGUUAAGUCAGGUAACGAGCGAGAUCCCUGCCUCUAGUUGCCACCAUUACUCUCAGGAGUAGUGGGGCGAAUUAGCGGGACCGCCGCAGUUAAUGCGGAGGAAGGAAGGGGCCACGGCAGGUCUGUGAUGCCCAA
rnacentral:rRNA from 1 species